UUUUCCCAUAACACGGUUUUAACAAUUGUAAUUUAUUGAUGGUCCCUAAGCUGACCCCCGGUGGUUAACAGCGAGGUAUCGGAGAUAUGGAUAUGCUCCAUAUGGCUUUUUCAAGAAAAUAGGCAUCUGUGGACCCACACCAUGGCCCUUUAUUGGGACAUUUUUGGAAUACAGAAAGGGCAUCCACAAUGUUGACACAGACUGCUUUCAGACAUAUGGAAAGGUGUGGGGGUUGUACGAUGGCAGGAAGCCUGUAAUGGGUAUAAUGGAC